rnacentral:rRNA from 1 species
AAACCAACAGGGAUUGCCUUAGUAGCGGCGAGUGAAGCGGCAAAAGCUCAAAUUUGAAAUCUGGCACCUUCGGUGUCCGAGUUGUAAUUUGAAGAUUGUAACCUUGGGGUUGGCUCUUGUCUAUGUUUCUUGGAACAGGACGUCACAGAGGGUGAGAAUCCCGUGCGAUGAGAUGCCCAAUCCUAUGUAAGGUGCUUUCGAAGAGUCGAGUUGUUUGGGAAUGCAGCUCUAAGUGGGUGGUAAAUUCCAUCUAAAGCUAAAUAUUGGCGAGAGACCGAUAGCGAACAAGUACAGUGAUGGAAAGAUGAAAAGAACUUUGAAAAGAGAGUGAAAAAGUACGUGAAAUUGUUGAAAGGGAAGGGUUUGAGAUCAGACUCGAUAUUUUGUGAGCCUUGCCUUCGUGGCGGGGUGACCCGCAGCUUAUCGGGCCAGCAUCGGUUUGGGCGGUAGGAUAAUGGCGUAGGAAUGUGACUUUGCUUCGGUGAAGUGUUAUAGCCUGCGUUGAUGCUGCCUGCCUAGACCGAGGAC